ACAGAGACCGAGGAGUACUUGUAGCGGUGAUGUUACCUGCUAGUUCGUUCCUUUUUAUUCUUACUCCAUGCUUUGUGGUGUUUAUUAUAACUGUGUGAAUGUGGUUUUAUGAGAAGUGUAAGCUGAAGAAUCUUUUUUUUUUUUACUGUGAAGAUUGCCUCUGGGGAAUGACUCUGCUGUUGGUUGAAAAGCAGGCUAAAGUGUUCUAUGGUGUCAGUAAACAUCUGUGAAAGGAACAGGAGUCUCGCAUCCCAUCAAUGGUCGGCAUAAGGAGAAAGCCACUGCUGUCCAAAAAGAACAUUGCUGCUCAUCUGCAGUUUGCUAAAGAUCACAUGGACAAGCCAGAAGGCUAUUGGGAAAAUGUUUUGUGGAUGGAUGAGACCAAAAUAGAACUUUUUGGUUUAAAUGAGAAGCGUUAUGUUUGGAGAAAGGAAAACACUGCGUUCCAGCAUAAGAACCUUAUCCCAUCUGUGAAACAUGGUGGUGGUAGUAUCAUGGUUUGGGCCUGUUUUGCUGCAUCUGGGCCAGGACGGCUUGCCAUCAUUGAUGGAACAAUGAAUUCUGAAUUAUACCAGCGAAUUCUAAAGGAAAAUGUCAGGACAUCUGUCCAUGAACUGAAUCUCAAGAGAAGGUGGGUCAUGCAGCAAGACAACGACCCUAAGCACACAAGUUGUUCUACCGAAGAAUGGUUAAAGAAGAAUAAAGUUAAUGUUUUGGAAUGGCCAAGUCAAAGUCCUGACCUUAAUCCAAUUGAAAUGUUGUGGAAGGACCUGAAGCAAGCAGUUCAUGUGAGGAAACCCACCAACAUCCCAGAGUUGAAGCUGUUCUGUACGGAGGAAUGGGCUAAAAUUCCUCCAAGCCGGUGUACAGGACUGAUCAACAGUUACCGGAAACGUUUAGUUACAGUUAUUACUGCACAGGGGGGUCACACCAGAUACUGAAAGCAGAGGUUCACAUACUUUUGCCACUCACAGAUAUGUAAUAUUGGAUCAUUUUCCUCAAUAAAUAAAUGACUAAGUGUAA